UGUGUAUACUACGAAUGCUGGCUUCUUAUCAUUUGUCUCCUGUUUGAAUUUGAUUUUUUUCAAAAGAAAUUCCAGUGGUCUGUUCACUAGUCGAUAGAUGGCGAAACAAUCAGUUCUCACAGCAGGUUCUCUACUGCUUUAAGGUUCUGCGUUCAGCUUUUAAUUGAAUUUAUGAGCCAGGAGGACCCAUCGCAGCUCUGGAACUCUCGGGGCGAAACAAACAAGUCCAUUUUAGGACAAACCUUCGACCGAAAUUCUGAAUUGGUCAAGAAAAAAUUUACAAACAUUUUUUUCCAAAUGUAAAAUCUAACCAGAAACAAGAACCAGUCCAGUUUCUCAAUAACUUGCUUGGAACUGACCAUGGACGGGACGGGCCGUACAUGUCAUCCUGGUCAGAUGGAAUUUUAUCCCCUUAGCAACAAGAAAAAAAAAAAAAAGAGUUGACUGGGAAACCAUACGCGCAUAUUGCACAUCACCAUCCUCUGCCGGAUCAACAUUUUCGACGUCCCUUAUUUCGGACAACUUUUCUAUAUAUCAGCCCAGCCUGUAUAUAUACCCAGACGUAAUUGGUGGCCUUCUCCGAUUUACCCUUUUCUCGGAAAUAAAUAUACGUAUUAUAUGUUAUAAGU